CAUAGCCACGGUAAUACGAAGGGUGCAAGCGUUACUCGGAAUUACUGGGCGUAAAGCGUGCGUAGGUGGUGGUUUAAGUCCGUUGUGAAAGCCCUGGGCUCAACCUGGGAAUUGCAGUGGAUACUGGGUCACUAGAGUGUGGUAGAGGAUAGUGGAAUUUCCGGUGUAGCAGUGAAAUGCGUAGAGAUCGGAAGGAACAUCUGUGGCGAAGGCGACUAUCUGGGCCAACACUGACACUGAGGCACGAAAGCGUGGGGAGCAAACAGGAUUAGAUACCCCUGUAGUCCCUGUCUCUUUACAC
rnacentral:rRNA from 1 species